AGGAUAUGAGACGACGAGAACAUUGCUUUUUUAAAAGACUUGUACCCGUAAUCUUCAUAAUCCGAG
rnacentral:pre_miRNA from 1 species